GACGAACGCUGGCGGCGUGCUUAACACAUGCAAGUCGAACGGAGAGGCCCUGCUUUUGUGGGGUGCUCGAGUGGCGAACGGGUGAGUAACACGUGAGUAACCUGCCCUUGACUUUGGGAUAACUUCAGGAAACUGGGGCUAAUACCGGAUAGGAGCUCCUGCUGCAUGGUGGGGGUUGGAAAGUUUCGGCGGUUGGGGAUGGACUCGCGGCUUAUCAGCUUGUUGGUGGGGUAGUGGCUUACCAAGGCUUUGACGGGUAGCCGGCCUGAGAGGGUGACCGGCCACAUUGGGACUGAGAUACGGCCCAGACUCCUACGGGAGGCAGCAGUGGGGAAUAUUGCACAAUGGGCGGAAGCCUGAUGCAGCAACGCCGCGUGCGGGAUGACGGCCUUCGGGUUGUAAACCGCUUUCGCCUGUGACGAAGCGUGAGUGACGGUAAUGGGUAAAGAAGCACCGGCUAGCUACGUG
rnacentral:rRNA from 1 species